rnacentral:misc_RNA from 1 species
CACACACGCAUACGAAUGCACGGGUACAUCUGUGAUUACAACCGCGCUCAUGCAACCGCCUUUGCGCGCCCCUCCUGCGUCGCUAACGGGAGACAGCCACCACAGUGCGGCGCUGCCCGCGUGUGAAUACGUGCCAAGCGGCUUCCCCGCUGGUGGGUCUUACGGUGAGUCCAUGCCAGGGUUUGCCGACUCUUUGAACGGAGUCGCCGUAGGGUCCAGCACGAUGCUUACGCGUGGUACGCAUUCGAGCCAAGACGCCAUCCACUACACCGACACUGCAGCGGCGGCCGAGUGGCGUGCCCUCUAUGGCGCCAGCGCCGAGAUGAUGAACUCGACAGCGCACACAUUCCGUGCCGGCGGCGCCGGUGUUUCGUACAUGACCCCCAUCUUCCAUCUUACCGCCGACGACGCCACCAUCCUGUCCAUGGAGCACAACAACCACUGCAGGCUGCUGGGCAUCGCCACCUCCAAGAACCAGAUUUUCGUCACGUGGACACAGCUUAUGCCGGUGAUAGAGAACAUGGGCAUGCUGUGGGCACCCGAUGACGACCUCUUUGGCGGCGAGCAGGCCACGCCGGUGGAUGAGCGGCUGCUUGAGUGGGACCCGGCGACGAUGUCUAUCUUGAUUGACGAGUUGCCCUACACCUGCACCGAGUUGUCAUGGGCGCCGUGGCAACAAGGCAUCUACCUCGCUGGGCUCUGCCCGGGGCACGGCAUCCGGCUCUAUCGCUACUCGCAUGGGAAUUGGGCGCUGGAUGACUGCAUCCGCUCCACGGAGAGUGUGAGCUGCUCCAUCUCCACAAACUUCACCGUGGCGUGCGCGUGUCGCCGCGGUCGAGUGGAGCUGUGGGUGAGAGGCUCCACUGCGUGUGGCACUGCAGUGGCUCCUGGGCCGUCACCCAGCUUGAGUGCGGGUGACGGCACCGCGACAAACGGAGGCGAUGGGGUGAGCCACACCUCAUGGGUGCUGUGCCGCGUCCUCACGCUUCCCUUCACCGAGGACGACGGCGGCGGUUCCCGCACGCAUGACGGCGACAGGAGCGGUGAUGCUGGCUCGUCCUCCGCGGUCGCAGCGCGCCAUCGCCAGCGAGACACACUUGGCGUCGCCUGGGACGAGUCCGGCGCCCUGCUAGCGGCCGGCGAUCAGGGAGGUUCUGUUUACGUUGUGGCGGCUACCCAAGACAGCACGCGGCUGGGCGAGGUGGUGUACCACCGACUGCCGUCUGCUUUGUGCAGCCCAUGCAAGCAGGUUGCCUGGUCCCCAUCCUCGGGGCGUAGCUUUUUGUGUCUGGCGAUGGUGUUCACGACUUGCGUUCGACUGGUGCUCUUUCGCCGGCCGCGCUUCAUGAACGCGGCCGGCCUGCCUCACGCGACCCACAGCGUCGGCGGCGGUGGCGGUGGGCGAAUGGGAUGGGCGCACGGCAGCGUAGCACCGAUAGCCGCCAGCCCGCUUGAGGAACUGGCAACGGCGCAGGUGCCGUGCGAGGAGGUCGCAAAGCUGUCGUGGAACAACACCGGCACGCGCUUCGUCACGGCGCAUCUCGACAGCUCCGUGAACAUCUGGGCUGUUGACUUCAGAUACCAGCACCCCGUGAAGGGUGGCGGAGCGAACGCGACCGGCGGCCGAGACGAGGCCAAUACGCUGCACAGCGUCGACAGCGCACGCAUGAAUGGGCAGGUGGAAACGAGCGUGUUUGCCGCAGCGGGGGACAAACGACUCGGCAUUGUCGUAUCCGUGCGGCGCACCUCCGCGGUGCACCCUUACCACGCCUUGUCGAAGUGAUGUGAGCCGACGACGUUUUAGGGACCGCUCUCUCUUUCUCAUUCUCUCUCGCUCUUUCUUCCUCCUGCCCUGCUCCUCCUCAGUGCGCCUGUGGCCCUCUUCGAGGGAGACCUCUUGUGAGCGCUGCGGUGUGUGGAUGAGCGUGUGCUUGUCCGUUGUGGUUUCUCUAUCGUCAGGAACCGAAAAACCCGGACAGAUCUGACGUUCUUGCGAGAGCGACACGCAUUACGUGGGAGGGGGUAGGCACGUCUAUCGGCGACGACAGACAACUUUCGCAGGCGGUCUCGCUUUCUGGUGCUUGCUACUGUGAGAGGCGCCCGCUGCUUUGCUUGUUUUUUUUCCUUUUCGUGCAUUGCCCCCUUUCCAACUCCUUGUCCCUCUUGCACAGCUCUUUAGCAG